rnacentral:rRNA from 1 species
CAGAAGGGAGCUUGCUCCCGGAUGUUAGCGGCGGACGGGUGAGUAACACGUGGGUAACCUGCCUGUAAGACUGGGAUAACUCCGGGAAACCGGAGCUAAUACCGGAUAGUUCCUUGAACCGCAUGGUUCAAGGAUGAAAGACGGUUUCGGCUGUCACUUACAGAUGGACCCGCGGCGCAUUAGCUAGUUGGUGGGGUAAUGGCUCACCAAGGCGACGAUGCGUAGCCGACCUGAGAGGGUGAUCGGCCACACUGGGACUGAGACACGGCCCAGACUCCUACGGGAGGCAGCAGUAGGGAAUCUUCCGCAAUGGACGAAAGUCUGACGGAGCAACGCCGCGUGAGUGAUGAAGGUUUUCGGAUCGUAAAGCUCUGUUGUUAGGGAAGAACAAGUGCGAGAGUAACUGCUCGCACCUUGACGGUACCUAACCAGAAAGCCACGGCUAACUACGUGCCAGCAGCCGCGRA